AGAUCUUUGGACUAUUGAAGGACAUUGGCGUGAGAGACAGCCCGACUUUAGCGGCCUUCCUCUUCUACAGGAGUUGUUCCAAACAUACGCAGAGAGACAGACGCAGACAUCCUCAACCUUUUACCAAAGAUAGAAAUUUAGAAACGCACCUAAUGCACGUACAGCGAGGGAAAAGGAAAAAAGAAAUAAAUACAGAGAGUGUGUUUUUAUUCGUGUCUGUGUUUUGUGUGUGAUAGAAAAAGCAUAUAUACACAGAUAAACAGCGGGAGAGAGAGAGAGAGAGAGAGAGAGAGAGAGUGGCCGUUGAAACGGUCACCUCCACCCUUCGUCUGGUUGGCGACCAACGUGAUCAAGAUCAUUCCCCUUUCAACCCAAUAGAAAAUUCUACCCCUAUACUUCCUAAUUCUCUCCAUUUUUUGGGGGAAAAGGAAAACAAGAAAAAACAAAUCCCAGAAAAUCUACCAUUUUUUUUCCUUCAAACCCCAUUCCCCAAGCGGCGGUGUUUGUCUUGUGUAGAAGGUAAUUCAUUCCUUUCCUUCUCUACCCAUUUCCUCAUUUGUCCUAAUUUUACGAUUUUUCUUUUGUUUUUUUGAGCUAUAAAGCUAUCUGGCUUUUCGGAGAGUUUUUGUAUUCAAAGAGCUAGAUUUAUUGUUAUACUACAGCACACAUGCAGCACAAUCUAUUCACCACAAUGCGUAGUUUGAAGAUCAUGGAUGGGUGUAAAGGCACUCAGGUCUACGCUUUUAACCCAUCCGGGCCUAACACUGGUGGUGGUGGCGGCGGUGGCGUGGGCGACAAGCUUUUAAACCACCUCCAGGAUCAUCUCAGGGUCAAUUCGAUUCGAUCCAAAUUGAAUCGGGGUUUUCAAGCUCCUCCUAACACAGCCCCGAAUGUUGUACCUGAGAAUCUUCUACCGCACGGACUCCCCAAGACCGAUCUCCUUGAGCCCCGGAUUGAACCGUGCCUUAAAUCUGUUGAUUUCGCCGAAACCUUAGCUGAUGUGUAUCGCAGGAUUGAGAAUUGUUCUCAAUUUGAGAAAUAUAAGGUGUAUCUUGAACAAUGUGUGAUUUUCCGGGGGCUAUCCGAUCCCAAAUUGUUCCGGCGGAGCCUUAGGUCCGCAAGACAGCAUGCUGUUGAUGUGCAUAUGAAAGUUGUCCUCGCCGCAUGGUUGCGGUUUGAGAGGAGAGAGGAUGAGCUUAUUGGAUAUUCAGCAAUGGAUUGUUGUGGACGGAAUCUUGAGUGUCCUAAGGCUAGUUUGGUAUCCGGGUACGACCCUGAAUCAAUAUAUGAUUCUUGUUCAUGUUCUCGGACCCCUAGGGAGGAAGUUGAUGAUGAAAUCUUAAUGGGGCAUGAGGAAUGUUCGACUUCGGAGGAGGAUGGUGAUAUGUCUUUUUGCAUUGGGGAUGAAGAAAUUAGGUGUGUACGAUACAAUAUUGCGAUGCUUUCAAGACCGUUUAAAGCAAUGUUGUAUGGUGGCUUCAAGGAGUCACGAUGGGAGAAAAUAAACUUUUCGCAGAAUGGGAUUUCUGCAGAGGGAAUGAGAGCAGUGGUGAUAUUUAGCAGGAUAAAAAGAGUAGGUUCUUUUGAUCCACAUACCGUGUUGGAGCUACUCUCUUUGGCAAACAAGUUUUGUUGCGAGGAGAUGAAGUCCGCUUGUGAUGCUCAUUUAGCAUCUCUGAUCUGUGACAUGGAGGACGCAAUGUUGCUAAUUGAGUAUGGGUUGGAGGAAACUGCAUAUCUUCUAGUGGCAGCUUGCUUGCAGGUGUUCUUGAGAGAGCUCCCAAGUUCCAUCCACACUCCCAAUGUGAUGAGAAUUUUUUGUAGUUCAGAGGCUAGGGAAAGAUUGGCUAUGGUUGGGCAUGCUUCUUUUGCUUUGUACUAUUUCUUGAGCCAGAUUGCCUUGGAUGAAGACAUGAAAUCAAACACUACAGUGAUGCUGCUGGAGAGGUUGCAGGAGUGUGCAGUUGAAGGUUGGCAGAAGCAACUUGCAUCUCACCAGUUGGGUGUUGUCAUGCUUGAGAGGAAAGAAUAUAAAGAUGCACAGAAUUGGUUUGAAGCUGCAGUUGAGGUGGGCCAUGUUUAUUCAUUAGUGGGCGUUGCAAGGGCCAAGUUUAAGCGUGGGCAUAAGUAUUCAGCAUACAAGCAGAUGAAUUCUCUCAUUUCAGAUUAUACCCCAGCUGGCUGGAUGUAUCAGGAGCGAUCUAUAUAUUGUUGUGGGAAGGAGAAGAUGACAGAUUUGAAAACUGCAACUGAUUUGGAUCCAACUCUCUCUUAUCCAUACAAGUACCGAGCUGUUUCGCUAGUGGAGGAGAACCAGCUUGGGGCAGCAAUAUCAGAAAUUAAUAAAAUAAUUGGAUUCAAAGUUUCACCCGACUGCCUUGAACUGCGUGCAUGGUUUUCCAUUGUUCUAGAAGAUUACGAAGGAGCUCUAAGAGAUGUCCGGGCACUAUUGACGUUGGACCCAAAUUAUAUGAUGUUUGAUGGGAAAAUGCAUGGAGACUACUUAGUUGAGCUCCUCCGCCCUCAUGUUCAGCAGUGGAGUCAGGCUGAUUGUUGGAUGCAAUUGUAUGAUCGAUGGUCCUCUGUUGAUGAUAUUGGAUCUCUAGCUGUUGUACACCAUAUGUUGGCAAAUGACCCAGGGAAGAGUCUCCUACGCUUUCGUCAGUCUCUUCUUCUGUUACGGUUAAAUUGUCAAAAGGCAGCUAUGCGUAGCCUCCGGUUGGCUAGAAAUUACUCCACUUCUGAGCAUGAACGUCUUGUUUAUGAAGGGUGGAUUUUUUAUGAUACUGGCCAUCGUGAAGAAGCAUUAGCCAGGGCUGAGGAGUCCAUUUCCGUACAGAGAUCAUUUGAAGCUUUCUUCCUUAAAGCAUAUGCUUUAGCAGACUCUAGUCUCAAUCUUGAGUCUUCAAUGUAUGUGAUCCAGCUUCUGGAGGAAGCUCUUAGAUGCCCCUCAGAUGGCCUUCGGAAAGGACAAGCAUUGAAUAAUCUAGGAAGUGUCUAUGUAGACUGUGAUAAGCUGGAUCUUGCUGCUGACUGCUACACGAGUGCACUCAAUAUCAAGCAUACACGAGCACAUCAGGGUUUGGCACGUGUAUAUCAUCUUAAAAAUCAACGCAAAGCUGCAUAUGAUGAGAUGACAAGGCUGAUAGACAAGGCCCAGAACAACGCAUCGGCUUAUGAGAAACGUUCAGAAUACUGUGACCGUGACAUGGCAAAAAGUGAUCUUAUUAUUGCAACACAGUUAGAUCCCCUGAGGACAUACCCUUACAGAUAUAGGGCAGCGGGUCCAAUGUUACUUCUAUAACUGUUGGAGCCAGGAAAACUUCCUGGUGCACUAUCUGUUGAGUAUAGUUAUAUGUUGGUAAUCCAUUCACUGAUUAUCUUCGAGGUUUCACAACUAUAUUCCAUAUUUUUUAGAUGGCGCAUUGCCUUGUAAAUUAUACAUGUAUAUGUAUUAACUAGUUGACCCAGGCAUUAGUUUGCUGUUAUUGAGCCACAGUGUUGCAUAGCUGGCUGGGUUUCAAACCACUUGCGUCAUCUUCUUCUUCUUUUUUUGUUUUCACUUGCAUCAUUUGAAAUUGAGGUCAUCAACUUGGAAACUGCAUGGACCUUACUUUUCAACUUAAAUUCAAUCAUGGCUCUGAUUGACAUCAAAAGUACAUUUGAUUUUUGUUUUCAAAAGAUCUAAAGGAAUACCAUGGUCUGGUAGUUAUUUCAAGCAAAUGCUAGUUCUCAUUGUCGCAGAUUUGUUUUGCAGUCGAGAUGAAAAGCUCGAACUGCUCUAGUUAAGUAGGAUUUCUUAUGUUAUAUUACAUAUGCCUAACCCCAAGGGGUUGGCCCAAGUGGUGAAGGCCUUAGUCUUGGGGUCUUAUUCCCUUCAAGGUCCAAGGUUCAACACCUCAUGGGUGCAAACAAUCCUUUGGGGCCACACCCCCUGGUGAAAAGCCAGCGAUUUAACCAGUUCCGUGUAGGGAAACUUCUGAGGUUGCGGUGCAGGGGACCGGAGUUUAUUCUGCAGGGGUGGGUCCAAAGGGCCCUACUUUGGAGAGGUUCCCCGACAUCAAAAAAAAAAAAAUAUUACAUACACCAAACUGCAAGUAUAUCUUCUGAAGUAGACAACAGAACUGGUCUAUAAUUGUCCUCUCCUAUUUGGGGUAGGAUUCUGCCAGGGUGUUGGUGGUACUUACAAAAAGAGAGAGGUGUAACAAAAGUGACCAACCUUAUAGUUGAAGUUUUAAUGGAUGACCACAAAGAAAACGAAGCCAUAGCAGAGCUUACAAGGGCCAUAGCUUUCAAGCUGGACGUGCAGCUGCUACAUCUUCGAGCAGCAUUUCAUGAAUCAAUGGGGGAUUAUAUCUCCACCACUAGGGAUUGUGAAGCAGCUCUGUGUCUUGAUCCCAGCCAUGCUGAUACUCUUGAGC